UACGUAGGGUCCGAGCGUUGUCCGGAGUUAUUGGGCGUAAAGAGCUCGUAGGCGGCUUGUCGCGUCUGCUGUGAAAACCCGGGGCUCAACCCCGGGCCUGCAGUGGGUACGGGCAGGCUAGAGUGUGGUAGGGGAGACUGGAAUUCCUGGUGUAGCGGUGGAAUGCGCAGAUAUCAGGAGGAACACCGAUGGCGAAGGCAGGUCUCUGGGCCAUUACUGACGCUGAGGAGCGAAAGCGUGGGGAGCAGACAGG
rnacentral:misc_RNA from 1 species